rnacentral:sRNA from 1 species
AAAUUCCGCUAGCCGCGUGGGUGAGAAGCUGCGUUCAGGUUCGAGCCGAGCGAAGCGAGACGACAACGCACUCGCGUUGCCCGAAGGGUGAGGCCAAAGGCCGAAUCAAUCCCGCACGGCCCACCA